UUUUGAAAUUGAAAAUUAUUUUUGAAACUAUUUUUAAAAUUUUUUUAUAUUUUUUAAGUAUUUAUUUAUAUAUUUAUUAGAAUACCAAAAUUUCACAUUCCGAAAAUAUUACACAUCCUUCAACUUUAAACCAUUAGUCUAGAUUAGUUAACCCUAAAGUUAUAAAUGUCUUUUACCCCUCAUUAAAAGUGAAAGUAAAAUUGGUUAGUGUAAACAUGCAAAGUGGUGGUGUUUUUUACAAUUUUUCUUAGUAUAAAGCGCAGGAUUUAGAUACAUACCUUAUUCCAAUUAAAUAGAUUAGAUAAACAGUAAAAAGAUUCGUUUUAAAUCUUUUUUAGUUCAGAAACUUAAAAUCCUAUCACUGUUGUAAUAAUGUCAAAAGGAAACGAAUACUAAUGAUUUUGGGUAAGUUUAACUAUAGAUUAGAAGAAUGUAUUAAAUUGAAAAUUUACAAAAAAAAAUAACUUGGUCUAAGGAGAGGAUUCUGUUUUAAUAAUAGAGAUUAGAAGAAUGUAUUAAAUUUAAAAAUUUACGAAAAAAAACUUGGUCUAAAGAGAGGAUUAUGUUUUAAUAAUAGAGAUUUUCUUGACACUGGUUGAAGGGUUUCUAGAGUGUGGUUCCCCAAAGUGUUUCGCGAUAAGCAUUUAUUUCUUAAUUAGCCUUUCGUGACUGUCUCUACACGGUGAUAUGGAGAAGGAACUGGAGAGUGAUUCAUCCUGUCAAUUCUGCAAAGAGUUUAAUGUGACAUGAGAUUUAUUGGAGUAGAUCCGUUUUCUGUAGAAAAAGAAAUCUAAACUAUACUAAAAGCACAAUAUAAAGCCCUAUAGAGCCCUCCACGACGGAUACAAAAAACGACCAAUAGUAAUGCAGCAAACAGCCACGUCAUCGUCGAGUUAACUUUGUUUGGGCUUUUGGUUUGGGCUUCGAUGUUUCCGGCCUGUAUGGUAUGAAUGUUUUUGAGCCCACGUUCAGGAGAUGAAAUACCGACGUGUUACGCGACCUGUCCCCUUUGUCGUAACCCUAAUUUUGUUCUUCACCCUCCUUUCGUCUUCCUGCUCUUCCAUCUCUCUCUCUUAUCCAAAUCCGUUUUCUUGAGUAACUUCACCACUAACUCCUGUAAUCAAACCUUGGUUUAACACAUUCAAUGGAUUCCUUUCGCCUUCUUCUUUAUUUUUCUAUUUAUAGAUCUGAUUUCUUAGCUUAUUACUCCAUCAAAGUUGAUAAGAUUCUCUCAGACACUCAUCGCGAUGGAAAACACUGGCAAAUCUUCGAUCUCCACCGACCGCAAGACCUGCGAGAAGACCGUCGACUCCUCUUCGUCUGCAAAACCAAACGGGAAGUCCACUGCUUCCUCUGUGACCGUCGACUCCUCUGCGUCUGUGAAAUCAAACGAGAAGUCCACCGCUUCUUCUGCGAUUUUGAAGAAACCUAACAAGAAGGCUGCUGUUUCAUCUGCCAAUCCGAUGUACCCAACCGCUGCUACCGCUCUCUCCUCCGCGCAUGGCGACCAAGUGAUGUUGUUCAGAGAUGUUUCUCACGGCCCACGCGAAGCCGAGUUGAUGUUUCGUUUGAUUCACUUAUGGGAGGCUCGCAAUCCAAAUACAAAAACGCUAAUUGGACAAGAGAUGCUCCUUAUCGACGAAGAGGCUUGUCCAUUUUUUUUAAUUUCUUCCUCUUGCUUUAAUAUUGCUCGAUUGAGAGAGUAUGGAAUUUUUAGUUUUUUCCUCUUGCUUUAGAAUUGCUUAAUUGAGGUAGUCUUAUAUUAAUCGAUGAUUUAAUUUUAUUGUCAGGGUACUGUUGUUCAAGGUUUUGUUCCAUUCAGACGUGUUGGGACAUUUGAUCUGAUAGCUGGUUCCUUGUAUAAACUGAGCAACUUUUUCGGAUCCAGAAGCAAAGAUCAGUAUCGGGUUACCGUCUCAUUCACUUGGAAUUCUUCUUUGUCCGUGCUUGAGAACCCUCCGGUUCUAAUUCCAGAAGAUAAGUUCAGGUUCCACAGCUACGAGGAGUUUAAGGCCAACUGUGACUCCAAGGGUGAUCUUUAUGAUUACGUUGGUCAUAUGAAACUGGUGAAUGGGCAGACUAUCACGGACCAUAUGGUGCUUGACGAAGAUGCCAUAGCAGAGAAGCAGCAUCUAUGUGUUCAUGUUCAGACACAUGAGUAAGUUUGUCCUUCUGCUAAUCAUUUUCAUUGUUUUGUGUGUUAAUUUUAAUACUUUUUUUUAUGAAGCGGACCGGUGAUGAAGCUUUAUCUGUGGGACAAGGUUGCAGCCGACUUCUGCCAGUAAUUCAAGUCGUAUGGAAGCAUCCCAAGCGUUCUUUUGGUCACCACUGUGAACCCUAAACAUCUUGGAGGUUAGCAUUUCUCUACUAGACAUCAUACUCAUAUACAGAGCUUAUUUGUAGUAAUUCGGUUGGAACUGUAUUAGGUUAUUCUUUUAUUGUUAGAUGAGGCAGUGGCAAUGUAUGUUCUGGAUAAUCACAUCGGUUCAUUUGCUAUUAGCAGAAACCUUUGCUAUCACUUCGUCAUCGUCUCGUGUGUUUAUGGAUGCCGAUGUUCAGCCUACCAAGGAUUAUCUUGAAUGGUAUGCAUCUCUGUAUUCAGUUAUUUGUCAUGCGAAUUUUGUUUUUUUACAUUUCGUACGUCAUUCUAACAUAUUUUGGGCUCCUUUCUUUUUUUCAGGUUGAGUUCCAACUCUGAUAUUGCUAAUAGGAUUGCUGCUGAGGUUGUUACUAAGCAUGAGACAGUGACUCUUGAAGAGCUAUUCUCUUACAUCAAGCAGGAAGCUUCUAAGGUUGCUUGGUUUGAGUGCAUGGCAACUAUAGAUGAUGUUGUCUAGGGUUCUGCUUGGUAUUACAUUUCCUGCGAUGGAUGUAAUAACAAGGCUGUCAAAGGGCCUACUUCUCUUAUUUGCAACAAUAAGAAGUGUGGGAAGAGUGAAGUCACAGGAGUGCCACAGUACCUCACGAGGAUUUCUGUGUAUGAUAAGAGUGAGCAAGCAGUGUUUGUCAUUCUUGGUGAUGCUGGCAAGGAGUUGACUGGGAAACAUGCAGCGGAAUUAGUUGCUAAGUACUUUGAGGCUAAUGAUGGAGUAGGAGCUGAACAUUGCGUCCCGGUUCCGCAAGCCUUGCUUGAUACAAUAGGGCAGACGCGCAAGUUUGUUGUUAAAGUAUCGGAUCAUAAUCUGAAAGGCAAGACUCAGUCCAUAACUGUCACCAAGAUUCUCCCACUAGAAGCUCCACUUCCAUCAGCUGUAGGUGAGGAAUCUGGUUCUUCCGGAGGCUUAGGAGAUACUGCAGGUGAUAGGGCUAGGAAAGCCGCUGAGAUCCUUGAGUCAGAUGCAGCAAAGCGUUCAAAGAGUGGCUAAUAUGGUUUCAACUUAUUUUCUUACGCAGUUAUUGUUUUAGCUGCAGUUCAGGUCGUGUUUUUUAAGUUUCCCUAAUGCCUAUGUGUUCUUUUCAUUUCAAACUUCAGGCUUUUGACCUUUUAUGUUUAAGGUUUUUUUAAUACAAUUUCCAUUAUAUGGUUUUAUCUUAUCCUUAUGAGCAUUUUACUUAUUG